AUGGGGCGUUCUCUGAGUGCAAAGACAGGGUCUUUAAAGAGAUUUGACGAGGUGGAGGGGGGAUUUGAGAGAAAUGAGGACAGACAAGGAGGGGAGAAGGACAGAGGAAGAGUGGUCACGGCUGAACAAUUUCAAGAAGUGAGUCGAUGUCUCAUUGCCCUAUCUUAUCUUGAAAAACCCAUGUACCUAAGUCGUGGAUGUGUCUGCUGCAUCCGCUGCAUCAGUUCACUUCUGAAGGAACCCAAUGAGGAAGGUGUAAUGUGUUCCUUUCGCUCUGUGGCUACUCAGAAGAAUGACAUCAGGCCCGAUUUCCAGCUGGGAAAGAUGGAUUCUAAAAUCAAGGAACUGGAGCCCCAGCUGACAAUUCUAUAUCAGAACCCAAAGACGCUGAAGUUCCAAGGUAAGAAAUCUGACUGGGCUGGCCUGUCCCAUAGAAGCUACAUCAGCAAUGUGCAGGCCCUAGAUGAGAAGCUGCUCAACAUCAUCAACCUGCAGUUCCUGCAUGGCUACUACAAGCCCAUCCUGUUCGAGCCCCACCAGACCUGGCCUGGGCAUGUGGCUGUGUGGCAGGACACGUGCUCCAUCGUGGCCAUCUUGCUAACAUCACGCAGAAGGUGCACCCCGUCAUCUGAUCUCUCACCAGCUACCCUUUGGCUGCACCCAGGCUCUGGCCAUGCCCAAGCCCAUGGGUGGGGUGGUGGUCUUUGUCGUCAGCUCGCUGUUAUACCUGAACCAGAGCAUUCCCCCGUACGGUUUGGCUCUCAGCAGCCUACCACAGGCACCACAGCUUUCCUGCUGUGCACCCAGGUGGGUGUGUGAAUCACCCUGGACUGUGCCCAGGCCACCUUCAUCUCCUAUGACAAGAUGGUCAUCUCCCUCAAGGGUGGCGGGAUUUACGUGCUGACCCUCAUCACUGAUGGCAUGCAUAGCGUCCAAGUGUUCCACUUUUGACAAGGCAGCCACCAGCGUCUUCACCACCAGCAUGGUCACCAUGGAGCCUGGGUACCUGUUCCUGAGUUCUUGCCUGGGCAACUCUCUCCUCCUCAAGUACACAGAGAAGCUUCAGGAGCCCCUGGCCAGUGCUGUCUGUGAGGCUGCUGACAAGGAAGAGCCUCCCUCACAGAAGAAGCGAGUGGACACAUGGCCAGCUGGUCAGCCAGGGACAAGUCCGUGUCACAGGACGACAUGGACGAGAUUGAAGUGUACGGCAGCGACGCCCAGUCGGGCACACAGCUGGCCACCUACCUUUGAGGUGUGUGACAGCAUCCUUAACAUUGGACCCUGCACCAAUGCUGCCAUGGGUGAGCCUGCCUUCCUCUCUGAAGAGUUUCAGAACAACCCUGAGCCGGACCUGGAGAUUGUGGACUGCUCCGGCCAUGGGAAGAAUGGGGCUCUGUCAGUGCUGCAGAAGAGCAUCCAGUCCCAGGUGGUGACAACCUUUGAGCUUCCCGGCUGCUAUGAUAUGUGGACAGUCAUUGCCCUGGUGCCUAACGAGGAGAAAGAGAAUCCCACGGGGGAGGGCACAGAGCAGGAACCCAGCACCCCCGAAGUGGACAGUGACCACUACAGACGGUGAUUCCUGAUUCUGAGCCAGGAAGACUUAUUCCUGCAGAUGGGGCAGGAGAUCAUGGAGCUGGACACCAGUGGCUUUGCCACGCAAGGCCCCACGGUCUUCAGCAAAAACAUCGGGGACAACCACUACAUUGUCCAAGUGUCGCUGCUGGGCAUCCACCUGCUGGAAGGAGUGAAUCAGCUGUACUUCAUCCCUGUGGACCUGGUCACCCGCAAUAUGCAGUGCACUGUAGGCAACCCCUAUGUGGUCAUCAUGAGCGCCGAUGGCCACGUCACCAUGUUCCUGCUGAAGAGCACACUCCUACAGUGGCUACCAGCGCCACCUGGCGCUGCACAACCCUCCCCUGCACCAUCAGCCCAAGGUGAUCGAUCACACUGUGCCUGUACCGAGACCUCAGUGGCAUGUUCACCACUGAGAGCUGCCUGAGCAGGGCUCACGAUGAGCUAGGGGGCUGCAGUGGCUUGGGGGCUGAGAGCCUGGGCUCAGAGACUAGCCCCACAGUGGGUGAUGAGGAGAUGCUGUGUGGGGAUUUGGGCUCCCUCUUCAGUCCCAGCAAGGAGGAGGCCCGAAGAAGCAGCCAGCCCCUGCUGACUGGGACUCUGUACCCUUCCAGACAGAGCCCAUCCACCGGUGCCUGCUGUUGCAGGAGAACGGCACCAUGGCGACCUGCCAGCUCCCCGACUGGCGGCUGGUGUUCUUGAUGAAGAACUUCCCUGUGGGGCAGCGGGUCCUUGUGGACAGCUCCUUUGGAGAGCCCACCACACAGGGCGAGGCCCGCAGGGAGGAGGCCAUGUGCCAGGAGGAGCUGCCUCUUUCGUCAAGGAGGUGCUGCUGGUUGUGCUGGGCAGCCGCCAGAGCACGCCUUACCUGCUGGUGCAUGUGGACCAAAAGCUGCUUAUCUACAAGGCCUUCCCCCAUGACUCAGCUCGGCCAGGGCAAUCUCAAAGUCCACUUUAAGAAGGUCCUUCACAGCACCAGCUUCUGUGAGAAGAAGCCGAAGCCAUUCAAGAAGAAAGAAGGUGGCUGCACAGAGGAGAGGGCCGGGCCUGGGGCCGUGUGGAGUGCUUCCACUACUUCGAGGACAUUUUUGGCUACUCAGGAGUGUCAUCUGCGGCCCCUCACCUCACUGGCUGCUGGCGACCGACCGAGGGGUGCUGCGGCUGCACCCCGUGGGCAUCAAUGGCCCUGUCGACUCUUUCACUCUAUUCCACAAUGUCAACUGUUCCGCGGCUUCCUGUACUUCAACAGACAGGGCAAGCUGAGGAUCAGCGUCCUUCCUGCCUACCUGUCCUAUGAUUCCCCAUGGCCUGUCAGGAAGAUCCCGCUGUGCUGCACGGUCCACUGUGUGCCUUACCACGUGGAGUCCAAGAUAUAUGCUGUGGCCACCAGCACCAACGCACUGUGCACGUGCAUCACACACAUGACUGGCGAGGAGAAGGCAUUUGAGACCAUCGAGAGAGAUGAGCGGUGCAUCCACCCCCAGGAGGCGGCCUUCUCCAUUCAGUUCGUCUCCCUAGUCUGCUGGGAGGCUAUUCCCAAUGCCAGGAUUGAGCUGCAGAAGUGGGAGCAUGUGACCAGCACGAACACAGUGUCGCUGCAGCGAGGAGACCAGGUCGGGCCUCAAAGGCUACGUGGCCGCCGGGACCUGCCUCAUGCAGGAGGAGGAGGAGGAGGUCACGUGCUGAGGGCGGAUCUUGAUCAUGGAUGUGAUUGAGGUGGUGCCCGAGCCCGGCCAGCCCUUGACCAAGAACAAGUUCAAAGUCCUUUACGAGAAGGAGCAGAAGGGGCCUGUGACUGCCCUGUGCACUGCAAGGCCACGUGGUGUUGGCCAUCAGCCAGAAGAUUUUCCUGUGGAGCCUGCGGGCCAGCGAGCUGAUGGGCAUGGCCUUCAUCGAUAGGCAGCUCUACAUCCACCAGAUGACCAGCAUCAAGAACUUCAUCCUGGCAGCUGACCUCAUGAAGAGCAUCUGGCUGCUGUUCCCAGGAGGAGAGCAAGACGCUGAGCCUCCUGCCAAGACGCUGGAGGUGUACAGCAUGGACUUCAUGGUGGACAACACCCAGCUGGGUUUUCUGGUGUUUGACCACAACCGCAGCCUCAUGGUGUACAUGCACCUGCCUGAAGCCAAGGAGAGUUUUGGGGGCAUGUGCCUGCUGCGGUGGGCGGACUUCCAUGUGGGUGCCCACGUGAACACAUUCUAAAGGACCCUGUGUCGGAGAGCCACCGAGGGGCUCAGCAAAAAGUCAGUCGUGGGAGAAUAAGCACAUCACGUGGUUCGCCACCCUGGAUGGUGGCAUCAGGCUGCUGCUGCCCAUGCAGGAGAAAACCUGCUGGAGGCUGCUGAUGCUGCUGAACGUGCUGACCACUAUGCUGCCGCACCAUGCAGGCCUCAACCUCCGCACCUUCCGGAUGCUGCAUGUGGACCUCCGUACCCUCCAGAAUGCUGUGCUGCAAGCUGGACAGGGAGCUGCUCAGCCGCUACGUGUACCUGAGCACCAUGGAGCAGCAAGCUGGCCAAGAAGAUCGGCACCAUGUCUGACAUCAUCCUGGAUGACUUGCUGGAGACAGAUGGCGUCACCGCUCACUUCUAGCUCCAUGGAUGCCGCUGCCACCACUGCACUGCACUGCACUACUUCCCACCCCCAUUUUAGUACAAAACACAAGGAAUAUACACUUUCUGGAAGACCAUCUGAUACUAUGUAUCAAGAAUCUCAAAAAUAUUCACAUACUAUAAUGCAAUAAUGCCAUUUCUGAAAACUGACCCUGAGAAGAUAAUACAGACAUGUGCUACAAUUUCCAUUACAGAGACAUCUGUUGUAAUGUUGUUUACAGAAGGGGGAAACAGAAAACAGCCUCCAUGUCCACAGAGGAAUGAUUAAAUAUGUGGUACACCUACAGGCUGGAGUGUAAAAUGGACAUAAAAACAAAGAAGAAAUGCUCAUGAGGAAACGCAGUGAUAGAAGCCUUUUCUCAAUAGUUUCUGCUUUGUUUGGGUGCAAGCCACCUUCAUCCUUGCCUCUGCAGUCUGUUCUCAGCACUGCAGUCAGAAGAAGCCUUUACACGGUAAGCCAGAUUAUGCUGCUCCUCUGCUCAAACCUUGCCGAGGCUCCUCCUUUUCACCUGAAAUGCAAGCCAGCGUCCUUCCCGGAUUCUGCAAAGCCCCAGAUAAUUUGACUGGCUCCCUGCACCUUCCCUAAUAUCCCCUCCUAUUGCUCCUUCUGCAUUCCACACCCCCUUCACUUUCUCCUGUUCACUGGGCUCCAGGCACACUGCCGUCCUUCCCAUUCCUCCCACCUGCUAGGCACACACCUGCCCCAGGGCCUUUGCACUUGCAGUUCCUUCUGCUCAGAUGCUCUUGCCUCAGAUAUUUGCUGGGCUCACACCCUCACCUCCUUUACCUCUGUGCUUACCUUCUCCAUGCAACCCCUCUCAACCAACUUAUUUAAUUCAAACUCCUCACCUGUCCCUGCUCCAUAAUGCAAUAGCUACAGACGUGACACAUUUUAAAGUUGAAUUUGCAUCAUUAACAUUUUCUCCAUCACUUGCUUAAGUCUAGACAAUCAACAAAACAAUCAGUCAGGCCCUGAUGUGCAUUGUUUGCCAAUUCCCAUGGUAUAUAUAGUUCCACCAAGGCCAAUUUUAAACUACCUAUAUGACGCCCCUGAACACAGUCUUGGAGAGAGAUGCACAGAAGCACACCAUUAUGUAGUAUUUUGUAAUAAAUGUAAGUCACCCCAGGAGCAUCAAUAAUAGUAAAAUGAGGUAAGAUAAUUAGGACAUGAUUACUCUGAGUAUGCAUUACCUUUGUUUUUAAUAAAAUGUACUUAAUUGGAAGUUCGUGUAAUUGAAUUUUUUUUAUUGGCCGCAUUUAACAGCUGACUCACAAAAUACCUAAAAAUUAACAGUAGACUUUCACCACCCAGUAUAUGCUGGCUCCAGCACACCCCUGAGAAUGGUUGAUUAAUAUGGAAUGGCCAUGCUGUGGAAUUUUAUGCAACUAUUUAAAAGGACAAAUUGGAGCUCUAUAGCAGACUUGGAGGAAUUUUUACAAAGAAUUGUCAAAUAAGAAAGCAAAAUAUAGAAACACAGAGUCAUUUUUAUAACACAGUGAUCUCCCCCUCAAUAAAACCCUCUCUAUAUGUGUCUGUACACAUUAAUAAAUAAUUGCAUAAGUAUCCAGAAUCAACUUGAUUUGGGGGCAUAGGAUGUGAUGUGUGGGAGGGAGAAAAGGAAGCCAAGCAAAAUAGGAAAACAGAACCAAAAAGACUGCCAGGAAAGCAAACUAUACAGAUGGUAACACAUUUUGGCAUUUAAGCAUAAUAUGUGUAUGUAUUUGUUCAUAUCAUUAAAAUACAUUUUUAAACCAAGUCCUCAUUUGGACAGUUGUUCAGGUUAUCUAUUGCCGUAUAACAAAUCACCCUAAAACUUAGCAGUUCGAAUUGCCAACAACCAUUUAUUAUGACAAGCCUGUGGGUUGCACAUGUGGUGUUUCUGCUUCACAUGGUGUUGGGAUACUGGGAUGGCUGCAGGGUUCAACAUGACCUCCCUCACAUGGCUGGGGGUUGAUGCUGGCUUCAAGCUGGGAGCUCAGCUGGGCCUAUCAGGAGGGGACCUGAACUCUCCUCUAUGUUGACCUCUCCACGUGGCUACUUGGGCUUCCUCACAGCGUGGUGACUGAGUUCUAAGAAGAAGCACUCCAAGAGGCAAAGGCUGGAGCUGCGUCAUUUCCACCAUAUUCUAUUGAUCACAGUGAUGACAGGGUCAGCUCAGAUUCACAGGGAGGAGAUACAACAUUUACCUUUCGAUGGACGUGGCAAGAUAAUAUCACAACAGUGCAUGUGGUAAGGGAAAUAUGUGGUAAUUGUCUUUGGAAACACAAAAGACCACAAUGAUCCAAGCCCUUGAUCAUGUGGCCAUGAAGUCUUCACUUCCCUGGGGUGGGGACCCAGUGAAACCCUCAGUGACAACCCCCAGGAGGGUUUUCUUCCAGGUUGACUGAGCUGUCUAUGGGUAACAUUAUGUUAUAUUUGUGUAUUGGUUGCAACUAUCAAUUGGCUGCAGAUACAAGACUUUGGCAAAAAUCAAAAAAGCAUUCUGUGAGAAUCAGUUGAAUGUAUACAUUUUAUAAAACAGUGUCAUAUUUUAUUAUUAUUUGUAAACUUUGUGCCACAAAUCUUUUAGUGUUAAUAAAUUUUAUAAUAAAAGUAGAUGUGUGUGUGUGUAUAUAUGAUAUAUAUGUGUAUAUAUGAUAUAUGUGUGUAUAUGCAUUUUUCCCCUGUAGCACACCUCUAAGUCUUUGUCUGUUAAUAAGCAUCAUUUUGUUUCUGUUCUACCAUGGAAUUCCAUUUUACUCAUGCUGGGUUCAAAGGGUAUGUGCAUUUUUAAUUUUAAUAGAUACUUUCAGAUUGCUUUCAACAGCAGUUAUAAUUCUCAUUUCUAGCAGCAGUGUAUAAGAGUACCCUUUUCUUACAUAGCUGCCAACAAUAGAUUGUAGAUUUAUUUUUUGCCAGUCUGAUAGGCGUAAAGUGUUAUCUCACUAUUUCAACUGGCUCCCCUCUGCCAUCCCAGUAAGUCUGAAGGUCUUUUCUUAUGUUGGGUGACAUUUGGCUUCCUUCUGUGACUUGCCUCUUGGUUUUUCUUUUUCUUUUUCUAUUGGGUUGUUUAUUCCAAUACUCCCUGUCAAUUUGUGCAUGUUCUCUGGAUAUUAAAUUUCAGCCUUACGAGUGGCUCUGUGUUCCAAAUCCCAAUUAAAUAUUGACUUUAUAC